GGAACAUAACUGAGUGUUGUCUUAUUUUUCCAUUGUGAGCCACUGCAGACCAUGAGAUUUAUUCAAGAAAUGCCACUGUCACAGGACAGCCCCUUUUUAGUUGCACAGCAACUGAGCCUACUUAUUCGAUACACUUAAAAAGUAUGAACUUGCCAAAUCUCAGAAAAGCUAGUCUCAAAAUUCCUGUUCCAAAUUCCUACCUGUGUUCUAGGGUGAGUUUGAGAAGUGAUGCACCCCAUCAUUUUUAAGGAUGAAAAAUGGAUUCAGCAGUGUGGUGAGGAAGGCUCGCAGAUUUAUGACAUCCUCCAUUGAAGAGAAAUUUGGCUGUGCACAGAGCAAAGAUCAAUCCCCUGGGUCCCAGCCUGGGCUACCUGGAACACAUCUGCCAGCUCAUUGAGAAGAUUGGGCAACUGCAGGAACACAACCUAAGGCUCCAGAGGCAGCUCAGCAGCCUUCAGAAGGAAAACAGGACCAAGAACACCAAGGAGGAGUUCUUCCUCCAGCAGUGCUGCUGUGGUGCUGCCAGCCUGACUUUCCAGGAGACAAAACUGCACUCCAGGAGUGAUUUCAGCAGCUUGACAGCUUCCAACAGUGCCCUGUCCGACUUGUCCACAAUCCCAGAAGUCACACAGCAGACUGGAAAGGCAGCCGCAACAGAGGGCGAAAGUAGAUGGUACCCACUAGUAUCCUUGAGGAGGAAGGCACUGAACAGGAGGAGCUACACAGAAGGGGAGUCCAGGUACCUAUGUGAGAGCAGUGAAGGAUUCUCUGCUACCUACAGGCGGCUGAGUGAAAUUCAGCACCCAUGGGUCAGAAUGAAAGAGUUGGUGAAGAAGACUAGGUUGAGGAACCAGAGCUCCUGCUCACUGAAGAGCUCAUGCCCACAACUAUACCGGCCUGACCUGGGACCGGUGGAGCUUCCCAGGAGAGACAGGAAUUCAAUGAUUGCGCUGGGCCAUCAAACCAAAUUGGAUUUCCUCUGGCAGCAGUAGUGUCAAACAGUCAGAAGAUGUCCCGCGUCGUGACAGGGAAGGUCCUGGAGGAGGAGAUAAAGCCAGUGUGCACAGAAAGUGGACCUAAAUGUGAGGAAAGGGAAGAUGAGGAGAAAACAGCUAAAGUUGGUUAACGCAGAGCCAAACAUGACAAGGAAGAAAGUUGUUAAAGAAAGAACAUGUAAACUAAUGGAUUUAUUGUUUUGGGUCAACAUGGAGAUUUUGGUUUGUUCCAAAUUUCUGAACAAAAUACAUUUAUAGUUUUUGUACACAGUAGAAAUAAUUCAUCUGUUACACCGGUGUUUAAUAUAGACUGCAAGUAUUUCAGAAACACUCUGGAAUCCUGUACAGAGGCCUACAAUACUCCGUACCUUCAUAUGAAAUAUGAAAUGAAAUGUAUUUCUUUCAUUAAGACCACAUUUUGCUAUUUGCUGCACCAAAGAAAGAGCCAUAGACAAGUAACUUUUCUUCUUCUGAGCCAUUAACUUUACUUAUUUAAAAGUGUAUUACAGUACCUUAAAUAGACAAAGCCAUAUAACCAAGUGUAUAAGUGAAAUCACUCCUUCCAAGUCCGUCCAUCAUAUGGUCCAAAUAUCAGAAAUUUCUUUGGCUAACAGUUUCUGACUGGCAUCGCGAUACCCCCACCUGUUUUUGGUUAGACAUGUGUGCUUCUGAUGUAGUCCAGUCCUGCAGUUCUGACACAUUUGAUGUUUAUGUUGCCUCAUUUUUCAUAAAGACUAACUCUAAAGUAUAAUAAAAGGGUGCCUGUCGGACA
ensembl:lncRNA